GACGAACGCUGGCGGCGUGCCUAAUACAUGCAAGUCGAACGAAGCUGUUUUAACUGGUGCUUGCACCGACUUAAACAACUGAGUGGCGAACGGGUGAGUAACACGUGGGUAACCUGCCCCAAAGCGGGGGAUAACAUUUGAAAACAGAUGCUAAUACCGCAUAAUCACAGAAACCACAUGGUUUCUGUGUCAAAGAUGGUUUCGGCUAUCACUUUGGGAUGGACCCGCGGCGUAUUAGCUAGUUGGUAAGGUAAUGGCUUACCAAGGCAAUGAUACGUAGCCGAACUGAGAGGUUGAUAGGCCACAUUGGGACUGAGACACGGCCCAAACUCCUACGGGAGGCAGCAGUAGGGAAUCUUCCACAAUGGACGAAAGUCUGAUGGAGCAACGCCGCGUGAGUGAAGAAGGUUUUCGGAUCGUAAAACUCUGUUGUCAGAGAAGAACGUGUGCGAGAGUAACUGUUCGUGCAGUGACGGUAUCUGGCCAGAAAGCCACGGCUAACUACGUGCCAGCAGCCGCAGUAA
rnacentral:rRNA from 1 species